rnacentral:lncRNA from 1 species
GAACGAAUAUCAAAGAUACAAUACAGAAAUUGGACAAAAAUGUCAUUGCAACUAAUUUAUUUGACAAAUAAACACUAGCUUGUACUGCAAUGCAUGUAAUAGUAUUCGCCUAUACCAAUUUUAUACAAAUUAAGUCAUCUCACAGGCCUCCAGAUUUUUUGGAAAAUUUAGUGUUCACCCUCAAAACCGGUUUGGCCACAACAUUAAAAAUUCAAGUUUAUUUACUAUUUUGACAGUGUGUAUAUGUUAAGUAUGUUUAAAUGAACAUUUGUUCCCAUAGUUU